rnacentral:rRNA from 1 species
AUACGUAGGGUGCAAGCGUUAAUCGGAAUUACUGGGCGUAAAGCGUGCGCAGGCGGUUUUGUAAGACAGUGGUGAAAUCCCCGGGCUCAAACUGGGAACUGCCAUUGUGACUGCAAGGCUGGAGUGCGGCAGAGGGGGAUGGAAUUCCGCGUGUAGCAGUGUAAUGCGUAGAUAUGCGGAGGAACACCGAUGGCGAAGGCAAUCCCCUGGGCCUGCACUGACGCUCAUGCACGAAAGCGUGGGGAGCAAACAGGAUUAGAUACCCUGGUAGUCCACGCCCUAAACGAUGUCAACUGGUUGUUGGGUCUUCAUUGACUCAGUAACGAAGCUAACGCGUGAAGUUGACCGCCUGGGGAGUACGGCCGCAAGGUUGAAACUCAAAUGAAUUGACGGGG